rnacentral:rRNA from 1 species
AUUGAACGCUGGCGGCAGGCGUAACACAUGCACGUCGAACGAGUGGCUGACUGGGUUGUAAUGUCUUGGAAACUGCCCGGUUGCGGGGGAUAACUCCUGUAACCGGUCGCUAAUCCCGCAUACCAUCGGAUGUGCCUUGAUUGGAUUAGCUAGUAGGUGGGGUAACGGCUCACCUAGGCGGCGAUCCCUAGCUGGUCUGAUAGGAUGACCAGCCACACGGUGACUGAGAGACGGUCCAGAAUCCUACGGGAGGCAGCAGUGGGGAAUAGUGCACAAUGGGCGCAAGCCGGAUGCAGCCAGGCCGCGUGUAUGAAGAAGGCCUGCGGGUUGUAAAUUACUUUCAGCGAGGAGGCGUUACUCGCAGAAGAAGCACCGGCUAACUCCGUGUCAGCAGCCGCGGUAAUUC